rnacentral:lncRNA from 1 species
GAGGAAGGAGGAGCCCGCUGCCCCGCUCCCCUACCUCAGCGUCGGGUCUACCCUGCCCACCUUCACCAUGUCACAGCAAGAUGCGCCCCCUUUGGCCCAGCCCCCAGGUGACACACGGCCCGGAACUUUGACCCGCCUUGUGCAAACUGGCUGCCCAUCUGAACCCAAAGCCCCUUGAGGGCGGUGAGCAACGCCUGCUGGCUAAGGGGUGCCCCUGAGCAGGGGGUGAAGACACCCCGCCAAGCUGCUGGUCUUUCAAGUGGGAUUUUAAGGCCGGGUAGAAUUUUUAAAAAUGAAAGGUUAAUCGCUUUUCAACAGUUUUUUUUUGAGACGGCGUCUC